AAGCUCGUAGUUGAAUUUCGUCCUUAGUUUGUGAGGUUCAGCCUUCAUUGGUUGGUACCUUUACGAACUGGGCUCCACCUUCUGGGUUAGCUAGUUGUUACUUCGGUGCAGCUAGUGAACCAGAACUUUUACUUUGAAAAAUUGGAGUGUUUAAAGCAGGCUUUUAAGCUUGAACAUAUUAGCAUGGAAUAGUGAAAUAGGACUUUGGCCCUAUUUCGUUGGUUUAUAAAGCCAAAGUAAUGAUUAAUAGGGAUAGUUGGG
rnacentral:rRNA from 1 species